AUAAUUUAGAUUAACUUACUUAGCUCCAAAAUACUUCAACUUAAAAUUUUGACUGUUAUGAACUCAAAAUCCUGAUUCAUAAAAAUAGCCACUCUGGUCUCCUUUCAUGGUGAUUGGUUAUUUAAGGACUUCUGCCUGGCAACAAGAGAACUAAUGCAGUGAUUGGUAGAAUAAUCCUAUAGGCGGUCCUUAAUGCCUGUUGCUGAGGCCGGAAAAUUCUGGAAUUGUUCUUCUCGUCUUUCGCCAUUUUAAACUCGUCAGCCCAGCCAACUGAGGUCCGAACCCUUGUGCUGCGAGGACUGCCUGUCCUGCUCGGGGAUGAUGAGUCUGCUUUUUUUAAGUCAUGUUUGGUGUCUGAUCAUCGCAAUUCUAUCCUUGAUGUGCCAGUGGGGAUCUUAUUUGAGCACACCGAUCUUCAGCCCCCCAACUCCUUGCAUUUCAAUUCCUCGAUUGGCAUAAUUCUUGAAGGUCAAAUGGUGAUGGACAAGAUGCCGGACCUCACACAAGCAAUGUGUGUCCUCUUUGGGCUAAUUUAUGCGUUAGACCUGAAUUACCCCAAAUCCCUUGCAAACACUUUUGAUUUUAUACAGCGGGUACUGAUGUCAAUGGGACAGAAUGCCCUCAAGCCCAAAGUACAGUCUUUGGCAAACCAGCUUUACUGUUAAAAAUGUUUAGUUGUUUAUGUGCACAAAGUUGCAGCAGUGAUGUUGUGCAGAAGUUAAGGUGAUGUUAAUUCUGAUGUUUUUUUUUUAUUUACACUGAAAUUGAAUUCAUUAUUCUGUAUAUUUUUGUAGAGUGUGGCUGUGACCAGUUGUGUUUUAUUUAUUGAAAUUUAAAUGUUUUAACAUAUAAACAAUACAUGUUCAAUGUUCAAUAUGAUGUUCAAUGUGUUUUUUGGACUGAAUAAAGAUUUAACAGU